UACGUAGGGUGCAAGCGUUGUCCGGAAUUAUUGGGCAUAAAGAGCUCGUAGGCGGUCUGUCGCGUCGGCUGUGAAAACCCGGAGCUCAACUCCGGGCCUGCAGUCGAUACGGGCAGACUGGAGUUCGGCAGGGGAGACUGGAAUUCCUGGUGCAGCGGUGAAAUGCGCAGAUAUCAGGAGGAACACCGGUGGCGAAGGCGGGUCUCUGGGCCGAUACUGACGCUGAGGAGCGAAAGCGUGGGGAGCGAACAGG
rnacentral:rRNA from 1 species